rnacentral:rRNA from 1 species
UACGCACCGUCCAAACGUUACUCGGAAUCACUGGGCUUAAAGGGGGCGUAGGCCGCGCGGAGGGUGGGAUGUGAAAUCCCCCGGCUCAACCGGGGAAUAGCGUCCCAAACCGCCGUGCUCGAGGGAGACAGAGGUGAGCGGAACUGAUGGUGGAGCGGUGAAAUGCGUUGAUAUCAUCAGGAACACCAGUGGCGAAAGCGGCUCACUGGGUCUUUCCUAACGCUGAGGCACGAAAGCUAGGGGAGCGAACGGG